rnacentral:rRNA from 1 species
CCUAGUACGGCGAGUGAACCGGGAAGAGCUCAAAUUUGAAAUCUGGCGUGCUCAGUGCGUCCGAGUUGUAAUCUAUAGAGUCGUUUUCCGUGCCGGACUGUGUCCAAGUCCCUUGGAACAGGGUAUCAAAGAGGGUGAUAAUCCCGUACUUGACACAAUGACCGGUGCUCUGUGAUACGUCUUCUACGAGUCGAGUUGUUUGGGAAUGCAGCUCAAAAUGGGUGGUGAGUUCCAUCUAAAGCUAAAUAUUGGCGAGAGACCGAUAGCGAACAAGUACCGUGAGGGAAAGAUGAAAAGCACUUUGGAAAGAGAGUUAAACAGUACGUGAAAUUGUUAAAAGGGAAACGAUUGAAGUCAGUCGUGACUGAGAGGCUCAGCCGGUUCUGCCGGUGUAUUCCCCUCAGUCGGGUCAACAUCAGUUUUGUUCGGUGGAUAAGGGCGGUUGGAAGGUGGCACCCUCGGGUGUGUUAUAGCCAACUGUCGCAUACAUCGGAUGAGACUGAGGAAUGCAGCUCGCCUUUAUGGCCGGGGUUCGCCCACGUUCGAGCUUAGGAUGUUGACAUAAUGGCUUUAAACGACCCGUCUUGAAACACGGACCAAUAU